rnacentral:rRNA from 1 species
UCCGUAGGUGAACCUGCGGAAGGAUCAUUACUGAUUUGCUUAAUUGCACCACAUGUGUUUUUCUUUGAAACAAACUUGCUUUGGCGGUGGGCCCAGCCUGCCGCCAGAGGUCUAAACUUACAACCAAUUUUUUAUCAACUUGUCACACCAGAUUAUUACUAAUAGUCAAAACUUUCAACAACGGAUCUCUUGGUUCUCGCAUCGAUGAAGAACGCAGCGAAAUGCGAUACGUAAUAUGAAUUGCAGAUAUUCGUGAAUCAUCGAAUCUUUGAACGCACAUUGCGCCCUCUGGUAUUCCGGAGGGCAUGCCUGUUUGAGCGUCGUUUCUCCCUCAAACCGCUGGGUUUGGUGUUGAGCAAUACGACUUGGGUUUGCUUGAAAGACGGUAGUGGUAAGGCGGGAUCGCUUUGACAAUGGCUUAGGUCUAACCAAAAACAUUGCUUGCGGCGGUAACGUCCACCACGUAUAUCUUCAAACUUUGACCUCAAAUCAGGUAGGACUACCCGCUGAACUUAAGCAUAUCAAUAAGCGGAGGAAAAG